rnacentral:misc_RNA from 1 species
GUCUUUUGGUUAUUUAUAAAGGUGUAUUUUGUUAAAUAGUUUUAAAAGGGGUUUUGGUUGUAAAAAAAGUUUGAGGCCCUUUUUUUUUUCUUCCUUUUUUAAGAAGAAGAAGAAAAAAAAGAAACCUCGAACAAAGAGCACAAAGGGGUGUAAGUCUAUAGAGAAAAAAAAAGAAUUUUUUUUCCUAUGAUGAUCCUUCCGCAGGUUCACCUACGGAAA